rnacentral:rRNA from 1 species
UAGCGGGGGAGCAAGCGUUGUUCGGAGUUACUGGGCGUAAAGGGUGUGUAGGCGGUUGUUUAAGUUUGGUGUGAAAUCUCCCCGGCUCAACUGGGAGGGUGCGCCGAUACUGAAUGACUCGAGUGCGGGAGAGGAAAGGUGGAAGUUCCUGGUGUAGCGGUGAAAUGACGUAGAUAUCGGGAGGAACACCGUGUGGCGAAAGCGGCGCACUCGGACCGACAACUGACGCUGAGGCGCGAAAGCUAGGGGGAGCAAACAGG